GUGGGGAAUAUUGGGCAAUGGGGGAAACCCUGACCCAGCGACGCCGCGUGAGGGAAGACGGCCUUCGGGUUGUAAACCUCUUUUGUACGGGAAGAAGGAAGUGACGGUACUGUACGAAUAAGUCCCGGCUAACUACGUGCCAGCAGCCGCGGUAAUACGUAGGGGACGAGCGUUGUCCGGAAUUACUGGGCGUAAAGGGCGCGCAGGCUGUGCUGCAAGUCAGCUGUGAAAUGUCUGGGCUUAACCCGGGCAUGCGGUUGAGACUGCAGUGCUGGAGUGCUGUAGAGGCAAGUGGAAUUCCCAGUGUAGCGGUGAAAUGCGUAGAUAUUGGGAAGAACACCGGUGGCGAAGGCGACUUGCUGGGCAGCAACUGACGCUGAGGCGCGAAAGCCAGGGGAGCAAACGGGAUUAGAUACCCUGGUAGUCC
rnacentral:rRNA from 1 species